CAGAACUAAAAACAUCACCCUCAGCAAGGAAACAUAGUGCUCAUUACAAGAGAGAUGACAGGACCUCUGUCAUGCUUAUCUAUGGCUUAUGUAACAACAGUUAACAUUUUUAAGAAAUGUGAUGUGGCAUGAAGACAUUAUUAAGAUCUAGUGUAAAACAAUGCAAAUCUAAAACUGGAGAAGAUUGAGGAAACUAAAGACCUCUUUUCCUGUAUCAUAAGGGGCCACAGUAAAGUCUUGCCAACAGUUUAAUGCCAUCUUUCUUCUUCAAGAGGAUGUGAACCCAACAUUCUGAGACUGGAGGUAGGAGGAAACAGUGAAAAGAAGCCACCACUUUCUCCAUUUUCCAGAAUAACUCAGUAGCCUAAUCAUUCAGUGAGUUUCUUCAAGAAAGACAUCUGAGGUGUGUGAUUAUCCUGUAAGACUGACCCAAAUCCUGCUGGCUUGGUGAGCUCAUCUCCCAGUUGCCUGAUUAUCUUAGAAUAUUGAAAAGCUCCAGUGAAGAUGAAGGUAAACAGUGAGGUGGUUGUACAGCAGCAACUGCGAGCAAAUCUUUAGCUAAUUAAUAAAAGGCAGCGUCUUCAAAGCUUGAUGUCAA